UGCCAGCAGCCGCGGUAACACGAACUGCGCAAACGUUAUUCGGAAUCACUGGGCUUAAAGAGUGCGUAGGCGGCCUGACAGGUGAGGUGUGAAAUCCCUCGGCUCAACCGAGGAACUGCGCUUCAAACCGUUAGGCUUGAGGGAGAUAGAGGUGAGCGGAACUGAUGGUGGAGCGGUGAAAUGCAUUGAUAUCAUCAGGAACACCGGUGGCGAAGGCGGCUCACUGGGUCUCUUCUGACGCUGAGGCACGAAAGCUAGGGGAGCGAACGGGAUUAGAUA
rnacentral:rRNA from 1 species